ACAGUGUCUGGUGGGUAGUUUGACUGGGGCGGUCUCCUCCUAAAGAGUAACGGAGGAGCACGAAGGUUGGCUAAUCCUGGUCGGACAUCAGGAGGUUAGUGCAAUGGCAUAAGCCAGCUUGACUGCGAGCGUGACGGCGCGAGCAGGUGCGAAAGCAGGUCAUAGUGAUCCGGUGGUUCUGAAUGGAAGGGCCAUCGCUCAACGGAUAAAAGGUACUCCGGGGAUAACAGGCUGAUACCGCCCAAGAGUUCAUAUCGACGGCGGUGUUUGGCACCUCGAUGUCGGCUCAUCACAUCCUGGGGCUGAAGUAGGUCCCAAGGGUAUGGCUGUUCGCCAUUUAAAGUGGUACGCGAGCUGGGUUUAGAACGUCGUGAGACAGUUCGGUCCCUAUCUGCCGUGGGCGCUGGAGAACUGAGGGGGGCUGCUCCUAGUACGAGAGGACCGGAGUGGACGCAUCACUGGUGUUCGGGUUGUCAUGCCAAUGGCACUGCCCGGUAGCUAAAUGCGGAAGAGAUAAGUGCUGAAAGCAUCUAAGCACGAAACUUGCCCCGAGAUGAGUUCUCCCUGAGACUUUAAGUCUCCUGAAGGAACGUUGAAGACGACGACGUUGAUAGGCCGGGUGUGUAAGCGCAGCGAUGCGUUGAGCUAACCGGUACUAAUGAACCGUGAGG
rnacentral:rRNA from 1 species